rnacentral:lncRNA from 1 species
CUUCAUUUUUCCUAUCACCUCGUGAUCAAUGGAAAGAAUUCCCUAGACUCGAACGAAGGAUGAGAGUGAUACAAAGGUCGCUUCACUUGCAUUUCUCAAUGUCUACUAUGUGUUGAACUGUAAAGAAGAACAAGCAAGGGCCAUUGAAUGUAGAAGGGGACACAGCUGAAUAAACAGGGAAUUUGAAAUUGUUACAAGUUUCGAAAAGAGUAAGUAUACAGGAAAAGUAAUACUAUAAUUCAUCUCAUGUCCACCCCCGUCCUCUGUGGAGCUAUAAACCAAUGUUAACAGAUUGGUGUGU